UUAACUCUAAUUUGUAUGGAGUCGGAACGUUUGCCUACGUUUGGCGCUAGAGACGCUGUUCCAACUACAUACAAAUUUGCGUUA
rfam:Bombyx mori DNA, contig: Bm_scaf12_contig9782, strain: p50T/Dazao, build 2, whole genome shotgun sequence.